rnacentral:lncRNA from 1 species
UCACUUUUUCCACAUCCAGCUCUUCUAUCCUGUAGUUGAGGUCCCCCAGCCACAAGAUCACACUGUACUGCAUUCGAGAACAAAUGUCCUUAUAGUCCUGGUUCCUCCUCUCAUACUCUUCAAUGUGGGCUGCCAAGUGAGAAUUCACAACGCAGAUGCUGGUGUUGUGGAACUACCUUUGCAUAUUUGGCAUCUGGAUGAAGACCCUCUGACACAGCUUUGAACCACUCUUCCUCCUUUGGGGUAUCGUGAAAGAAAAAAGCUUCCUUACUCAGAUCAAGCUCCUGGAAC